rnacentral:rRNA from 1 species
AGCGAAUGCUGGCGGCAGGCUUAACACGUGCAAGUCGAGCGGGCAUAGCAAUAUGUCAGCGGCAGACGGGUGAGUAACGCGUGGGAACGUACCUUUUGGUUCGGAACAACACAGGGAAACUUGUGCUAAUACCGGCUAAGCCCUUACGGGGAAAGAUUUAUCGCCGAAAGAUCGGCCCGCGUCUGAUUAGCUAGUUGGUGAGGUAAUGGCUCACCAAGGCGACGAUCAGUAGCUGGUCUGAGAGGGUGAUCAGCCACAUUGGGACUGAGACACGGCCCAAACUCCGACGGGAGGCAGCAGUGGGGAAUAUUGGACAAUGGGCGCAAGCCUGAUCCAGCCAUGCCGCGUGAGUGAUGAAGGCCCUAGGGUUGUAAAGCUCUUUUGUGCGGGAAGAUAAUGACGGUACCGCAAGAAUAAGCCCCGGCUAACUUCGUGCCAGCAGCCGCCGUAA